CUAGACUGUGAAUCUGACCAUAGAAGCUCACCACUUCUUAUUUACC
rnacentral:tRNA from 1 species